GUGCUCGCCUUAGCAGCACAUAGACUAAAAUUGAAACAAUACGAAGAAAAUGAGCAUGGCCCCUGCGCAAGGAUGACAUGCAAAUUCACGAAGCAUUCCAUAUUUUU